UACCCGCAGCUCAAGUGGUGGUCAUUAUUAUUGGGCCUAAAGCGUCCGUAGCUGGCUUGUUAGAUGCCUGGGUAAAUCGAUGCGCUUAACGUAUCGAAUUCCGGGUAGACCGGCAAGCUCGAGACCGGGAGAGGUGUAGGCUACUCGAGGGGUAGGGGUAAAAUCCUGUAAUCCUUCGGGGAGGACCAGUGGCGAAGGCGCUACACUAGAACGGCUCUGACAGUGAGGGACGAAGCCCUGGGGCGCAAACCGG
rnacentral:rRNA from 1 species